rnacentral:rRNA from 1 species
UACGUAGGGGGCAAGCGUUGUCCGGAUUUAUUGGGCGUAAAGAGCGUGUAGGCGGCUUGGUAGGUCCGCUGUGAAAACUCGAGGCUCAACCUCGAGAUGUCGGCGGAAACCACUUGGCUAGAGUCCGGAAGAGGAGAGUGGAAUUCCUGGUGUAGCGGUGAAAUGCGCAGAUAUCAGGAAGAACACCUAUGGCGAAGGCAGCUCUCUGGGACGGUACUGACGCUGAGGCGCGAAGGCGUGGGGAGCGAACGGG